AUAAGACUGGGAUGUAUGUUUAGGGACCCCAUGUUUGUCUACUGGUGAGCUUCACUUAAUUUAUUAUUAGUCUGUAUGCAUACCAUAUGCAUCUACUCUUUAUACAACUCUACCCUACAUUUCUGUAUUUUAUCUCCAGGAACUCAACAAACUGCUUGUUACACUACUCUCACCUCCUUACUCACCCAAAGCAGAGAAUGAAGCCGAAGCCAUCAAAGAAAAUCAUUGCCAUUGCUGAGAACAAGGAAGAAGAACCUAAGGACCACCUAGGAACAUUUCUGGACAAGAAAAUCUGCUUUGUUCUUUGAAUACCAACAGAAUGUUCCAUUAUCAUAAUUACAGUUCUCAGUGGUAUAAAACAGCGAUGAGAGCUGAUGUUCCCUUGGCAUCAUUAUAUUCAACAUGGUUCUUCUCAUCCCCCAACUGAUGCAAUUACUGGGUUGGAGAAACGCAGAGGUCAAAGGUCUCCACUCUGAGGCUCCAGAUUCCGGGACUCUCUUUGGUGACUGCGUGAUAAUUUUGGAAAACGUGAAGCCACUUUUGAUCGACUGCCUUUGCUGGUUUGUUCUGCACCGCCCUGUAUGUCACU